rnacentral:rRNA from 1 species
GACGAACGCUGGCGGCGUGCUUAACACAUGCAAGUCGAACGGAAAGGCCCUGCUUUUGUGGGGUGCUCGAGUGGCGAACGGGUGAGUAACACGUGAGUAACCUGCCCUUGACUUUGGGAUAACUUCAGGAAACUGGGGCUAAUACCGGAUAGGAGCUCCUGCUGCAUGGUGGGGGUUGGAAAGUUUCGGCGGUUGGGGAUGGACGCGCGGCUUAUCAGCUUGUUGGUGGGGUAGUGGCUUACCAAGGCUUUGACGGGUAGCCGGCCUGAGAGGGUGACCGGCCACAUUGGCACUGAGAUACGGCCCAGACUCCUACGGGAGGCAGCAGUGGAGAAUAUUGCACAAUGGGCGGAAGCCUGAUGCAGCAACGCCGCGUGCGGGAUGACGGCCUUCGGGUUGUAAACCGCUUUCGCCUGUGACGAAGCGUGAGUGACGGUAAUGGGUAAAGAAGCACCGGCUAACUGCG